rnacentral:rRNA from 1 species
GAUGAACGCUGGCGGCGUGCCUAAUACAUGCAAGUAGAACGCUGAAGGAAGGAGUUUGCUCUUUCCGGAUGAGUCGCGAACGGGUGAGUAACGCGUAGGUAAUCUGCCUGGUAGCGGGGGAUAACUAUUGGACACGAUCGCUAAUCCCGCAUAACAGUAGAUGUUGUAUGAUAUCUUCUUAAAAUGUGCAAUUGUAGCACUACCAGUUGGACUUGCGUUGUAUUAGUUAGUUGGUGAGUUAACGGCUCACUAAGGCGACGUUACAUAGCCGACUUGAGAGGGUGAUCAGCCGCCCUGGGACUGAGACACGGCCCAGACGCCUACGGAAGGCAGCAGGAGGGAAACGGCAGGAAGGGGCGGAAGUCAGACCGAGCAACGCCGCGGCAGGAAAGAAGAAUGUCGGAUCGGAAAGCUCGGUUUUAAGAGAAGAACGAGGGUGAGAGUGGAAAGAUCACUCUGUGACGGUAUCUUAUCAGAAAGGGACGGCUAACUACGUG